GGACUACUGGGGUAUCUAAUCCCUUUUGCUCCCCACGCUUUCGUGCCUGAGCGUCAGCAAUUGUCCAGGUAGCCGCCUUCGCCUCUGGUGUUCCUCACGAUAUCUACGCAUUUCACUGCUACACCGUGAAUUCCGCUACCCUCUCCAAUGCUCUAGCCGUGUAGUUUGAGGUGCAAUUCCGAGGUUAAGCCUCGGGAUUUCACGCCUCACACACACGGCCGCCUGCGCACCCUUUACGCCCAGUGAAUCCGAAUAACGCUCGCAGUCUCUGUAUUACCGCGGCUGCUGGCAC
rnacentral:rRNA from 1 species